rnacentral:piRNA from 1 species
UGCCACUAAGCGAGAAGGAGUUGAUGGGU